rnacentral:rRNA from 1 species
AAACCUGUUGGAGGGCCGAACAGUAAUCUGUUAAAAAAGGUAGUGAUGACCUGUGAUAAGGAGUGAAAGGCUAAACAAACCUGGAAAUAGCUGGCUCUCCCCGAAAUGCCUUUAGGGACAGCCUCAUACAAAGCUACCGGAGGUAAAGCACUGGACGGGAAUGGGGGAGUCAAAUCCUACCUGACCCAAUCAAACUCUGAAUGCCGGUAACCAGCGUAUGGGAGUGAGACUGCGGGCGCUAAGGUUCGUAGUCAAGAGGGAAACAGCCCGGACCAUCGGCUAAGGUCCCGAAAUUAUGCUAAGUGUUAAAUGAAGUGUGGAUGCACAGACAGCCAGGAGGUUGGCUUAGAAGCAGCCAUUCCUUAAAAGAGUGCGUAACAGCUCACUGGUCGAGCAUUCAUGCGCAGACAAUGUAACGGGGCUAAGCAUAAUACCGAAGCCAUGGACUCAUAUCGUCAGAUAUGAUUGGUAGGGGAGCAUUCCAUUAACUGACGAAGGAAUACCCGCGAGGGGUUCUGGAGGAGAUGGAAGAGAGAAUGCAGGUAUAAGUAACGAAAAGACGGGUGGGAUUCCCGUCCGCCGAAAACAUAAGGGUUCCAGGGUAAAGGCAAUCUGCCCUGGGUAAGUCGGCCCCUAAGGCCAGGUCGAAAGACGUAGCCGAUGGGAAAUCGGUUUAUAAUCCGAUACCUUCCACAGUUUCGAGGACAGGACGCAUGAGGUGAAAUCCGGCCGGAGAACGGUUGUUCCGGUCAAAGCGCCGAGCUGAUGAGGGCCGCAGGCAAAUCCGCGGUCUGAGGUGAGGCGUUACAGCGAGCGGAGAGAAAGUCGAAGCGAAGCGGAUGUAGUCAGGGUGCCGGGAAAUACUGUCUAAGGCUAGGCUGUGGAGGACCGUACCGUAAACGGACACACGUAUGUGGGAUGAGAAAUCUAAGGCGCACGAGCGACCUCGCGUUAAGGAACUCGGCAAAAUGCACACGUAACUUCGGAAGAAGUGUGGCUCCCGGUCGAAAGGUUUGGGAGCGGCAGAAAGCAGGCCCAGGCGACUGUUUAUCAAAAACACAGCCAUCUGCGAACCAGCAAUGGGACGUAUAGGUGGUGACACCUGCCCGGUGCCGGAAGGUUAAGGGGAGCGCUCAGGAGCAAUCCGAAGGUGCGAACCGAAGCCCCGGUAAACGGCGGCCGUAACUAUAACGGUCCUAAGGUAGCGAAAUUCCUUGGCGGGUAAGUUCCGCCCCGCACGAAUGGAGUAACGAUUCUGAGCACUGUCUCAACGCGAGACUCGGUGAAAUUUAUAUGUCGGUAAAGAAGCCGACUACCCAUAAUUAGACGGAAAGACCCCGUGAACCUUCACCGUAACUUAACAUUGGGAUCUUAUUUAUCAUGUGUAGGAUAGCUGGGAGGCUGGGAAGCGUGGUCGUCAGGCUGCGCGGAGCCGAUGGUGAAAUACCAGUCCUGAUGAAUGGGAUUUCUAACCCGCUCCAUGAAGCUGGGGCGGGGACAAUGUUAGGCGCGCGGUUUGACUGGGGCGGUCGCCUCCUAAACUGUAACGGAGGUGCGCGAAGGUCUCCUCACCCUGGUUGGGAAUCAGGGCGCGAGUGUAAAGGCACAAGGAGGCUUGACUGCGAGAAAGACAUUUCGAGCAGGUGCGAAAGCAGGUCUUAAUGAUCUGAUGGUGCUGAGUGGAAAGGCCAUCACUUAACGGACAAAAGGUACUCCGGGGAUAACAGGCUGAUUUUCCCCAAGAGUUCACAUCGACGGGAAAGUUUGGCACCUCGAUGUCGGCUCAUCGCAUCCUGGGGCUGGAGCAGGUCCCAAGGGUUUGGCUGUUCGCCAAUUAAAGCGGUACGUGAGCUGGGUUCAGAACGUCGCGAGACAGUUCGGUCCCUAUCUGUUGCGGGCGUUGGA